GACGAACGCUGGCGGCGUGCUUAACACAUGCCAGUCGAACGAAGAGCGAUGGAAGCUUGCUUCUAUCAAUCUUAGUGGCGGACGGGUGAGUAACGCGUAAUCAACCUGCCCUUCAGAGGGGGACAACAGUUGGAAACGACUGCUAAUACCGCAUACGAUCUAAUCUCGGCAUCGAGGAUAGAUGAAAGGUGGCCUCUACAUGUAAGCUAUCACUGAAGGAGGGGAUUGCGUCUGAUUAGCUAGUUGGAGGGGUAACGGCCCACCAAGGCGAUGAUCAGUAGCCGGUCUGAGAGGAUGAACGGCCACAUUGGGACUGAGACACGGCCCAGACUCCUACGGGAGGCAGCAGGGGGGAAUCUUCCGCAAUGGACGAAAGUCUGACGGAGCAACGCCGCGUGAGUGAUGACGGCCUUCGGGUUGUAAAGCUCUGUUAAUCGGGACGAAAGGCCUUCUUGCGAAUAGUGAGAAGGAUUGACGGUACCGGAAUAGAAAGCCACGGCUAACUACGUG
rnacentral:rRNA from 1 species